UACGUAGGGGGCAAGCGUUGUCCGGAUUUACUGGGCGUAAAGAGCGUGUAGGCGGCCAAGCAGGUCCGUUGUGAAAACUGGAGGCUUAACCUCCAGACGUCGGACGGAAACCGCGUGGCUAGAGUCCGGAAGAGGAGAGUGGAAUUCCUGGUGUAGCGGUGAAAUGCGCAGAUAUCAGGAAGAACACCAAUGGCGAAGGCAGCUCUCUGGGACGGUACUGACGCUGAGACGCGAAAGCGUGGGGAGCGAACAGG
rnacentral:rRNA from 1 species